rnacentral:rRNA from 1 species
UACGAAGGGGCUAGCGUUGCUCGGAAUCACUGGGCGUAAAGGGUGCGUAGGCGGGUUUUAAGUCAGGGGUGAAAUCCUGGAGCUCAACUCCAGAACUGCCUUUGAUACUGAAGAUCUUGAGUCCGGGAGAGGUGAGUGGAACUGCGAGUGUAGAGGUGAAAUUCGUAGAUAUUCGCAAGAACACCAGUGGCGAAGGCGGCUCACUGGCCCGGUACUGACGCUGAGGCACGAAAGCGUGGGGAGCAAACAGGG